GCAGAGGAAGAUAGAGGCGCUCGGGGUCCCAUCGACUGCCGCUGUCUAGGUCCCAGGAAAGAGCGGGUGCUGGCUCAUCUUCAGGCGAGAUGGUGGUGAUCUGGAUGCUGGGACACUCCACCACGCGGGACUCUGAAACCUGACAGAAGUCAUCGCCACAUGGCCCCGCCCCCUCGUCUCACUGACAGCUGUACGGUGACAUCAUGAACUCCACCGGCCAGUUGCUGAUGGAAAGCCGGCAUCACUGUGACGGGAUGUUUACUUUGUGGAGCAAAAGGUCAAACUGCUGGUCGGAGAACAUGACGACUGGAACAAACCAACCAUUUGGAGGCUUCUGGAACACGUGGCAAGACAACACCUCACCAAAAAAACCCACCAAGUGUAUCUUUCACACUGACACGUUCUCUGGGAGAAAAAAAUACUCAAGCCGUUCUCCUUAUUACUCAUCGUAGUCUGUAACAAUUUGUUGUUACGACUAAAUAAAUGGCUGUUUUAUAGGAAUUCCUACCAAAUUCUCAUGAGAGCAGCUCCCUGUUCAACUCAAAA